UAGGUGCUGAAGGAAGGUGAGUCUGUGCGGACAAUCCGAUAAUGAGACGUGUACCCGCAGGGCUACGCUCCCUCUGUGUCACCGAUCUUUCCAGCAGUGUCAGGUCCUUUAGUUUUAAAGCAAAGUAAAAGUUAAGUAAACCAGGAAAAGGCGAGGAGCGACCAGGACACGCCCAAUAAAUAGGAACGAAUGCGUAAUGAUAGGCAGAAAGAAGUAAAAAGAAUAUGAGCCACCGUUCUCAUCGGUAGCGUGGCCGAGCGGUCUAAGGCGCUGGAUUAAGGCUCCAGUCUCUUCGGGGGCGUGGGUUCGAAUCCCACCGCUGCCAACUCUGUUUUUUGUACUUUUUUCCCCCAAAUGUGUUAGAAAUUGAAGCCUUUUUUCCUCGGCACCCAGCAUUUAUUUCAAGUUAGCCGAAAAGGUGGGUGAGCACUCGUUUAAAUUUCUUGCAUUCUUAAUCUAGCAUUUCUUCACGCAAAAUCUUUGAAGACAGUGCCGCCCUCACAAGAAGACAUUGAAUGCUUGGUCUCCCAAAGGCAACGAGCUAAAAAGGAACCAGGACACGCGGUUGCUCUGUAGAAUGGAGAACAGAGCCCGAGGAGAUGAGUCUGUGGGGAGCUGAAGGCCACAGCUGGGGACUGAAAGGCGAAACCGGGUGCUUGGUUUUCAAAAAAAAGUAAAGAAACGGGGAAAUGGUUGCGGCGGGAAAGAGGAGCUAGAGGAAGUCCACUACCACGUAACAAGCACAGCGGUCUCCAUGGGAAGAACAGGCCGGACAGGCCAGCGCCCAGCGCCUUAGCAGCGAAGAAAAUUGGUUCUUUUCAGUUGUUGAUGUUUCGAGCCGAUUCCCGAUUUUCCCCUAGUAGGGAGCACCACGCAAAAUGAAGGGCUCGUCCGGGAUUUGAACCCGGGACCUCUCGCACCCUAAGCGAGAAUCAUACCCCUAGACCAACGAGCCACCGGGUAACGCCGCUUCUACUUUGGCCCCAAGGCUCGUGCUCGCCAUAAGGUAAUGGGAUUUCGGCACUGGAGCGCCUCCUGCUGGAAAGACAAGCUCCCACUCCUGCUUACAAAGCCACCCGACCGCCUCGAACGGACUCCGGCCUUGGUUGAAGCGAAGCCGCUGGAGGCAGAAGCAAGGCUGAGGAAAACGCAGGUUCUGGAACGCAGAUAGGUGGAGGGCGCGCGCUUCUCAGGGGUCGAGAGAGAAAAGAAAAAGAAAAAAAAAAAGAACCGAAGGCCCCAGCGAGAUUUGAACUCGCGACCCCUGGUUUACAAGACCAGUGCUCUAACCCCUGAGCUAUGGAGCCCUCACCUGUGCUAGGUCUUCCUACUUCUCCUCUUAUAGAUAUAUGUUGUCAACCUGUUAUUCUGGAGUCUUACGUGAGAUUCGUUAUCAGGGAAAUUCCAUGAUCUUCUAAAUGAAAGCUGGAACGUUCUCUUGCCCUGGUCCUGAAAUGCUCUGCUUCAAGUACAGCCGCCCCCAGACUGUCAUCUUGUCCCUCAUCUUGGAAACUGAAGCGGGACAUCCGCAGUGAUGCACAGAAAGGACUCGGCCGGGUGUGGGGGAAGGGGGACCCCGCGAAGGAGCGGCGCCCGAGGCUUAGACCGCGCCCACCUGCCUGAAUCCCAGCAAACCUUUAGCCUUCUUUUCUACAGUGCAAGUCUUUCUCAAAGCCUCAAGGGAAGAAGCAUGCGGUGCACGCGAGAACGAAUUUAACCCUCCCCUAAGGACGCACCGACACGUCUUUCCUAUUAAAAAUAAAAGAAGAUUUGCAAUGUUUAAACUUUCUCAAAUCCUUGUUCCGAUAACCUGGUAAACAAGAACAAGGACAUUUACUUAAAAUUGGCACAGCUAUCCUCUGCCUAAAAUACAUUCAUUCCAUCCCGUCUUAUGUAAACCUACACAGGAUGCUGCUGACCUCAAAACAUUUUAAAGAAAUGGAUGGGCUCCGUUAAUUAGAAAAAUAAGCCAUCUUACGGCAGAUGUCCUUGAUCCGGGUUGAGUCUACAGAGACCUCGCCAAGAUGUCCUGUGCACAGAGCCGGGCAAGCAGGGUCUUUGUUGCCCUUCUUGGACCUGCGUCUCCCCGUACUCCCUGGGCACCAGUCCUCAGACUUUCUAUGGUGGCUCUGGCCACCACACCCCCAAGAGAGCCACAAGGUUCGUUCUUUAAGACCGUAAAUUACUCUAUCGUCUGGUUAGUUAUCUAGUGUAUUCGUUCAGAAAUAAGUGUCCAUUAUCACCGUUUCUUGUCAUCUUUAUUUUUACAGUUUUCAGAGUGGGUCUUAGAACUGCCCUCCCCGCUCCUUCCCUUCUUGCUGUUUCUUCUCUCUCAUCAUCCUUUCUGGUCAUAUUCUUGGCUCUUUUCCUUUUCCUACAAUAAUCGUCAUCCCCACCUGGCAAGUUUGGUGGGCUCUCUUGCAUUCUCUGUGUAGACUUGAUUGAUUCUCCUUUUAGGGAGGGGGCUUCCAAAGAAGACGACAGAGCAACAGUCACAGGCCUGGCCUUUGUCCAAACAAAGCAGCAGACCUAGCCCGCAGACCCUAUCAGCGUUCAGCCAUUCCAAUCCCUAAGAAUCGUGCCACUGUCUAAUGGCAAACCGCCACGUUUCCCUAGACCACCAGAGCUCGCAGUUUAAUUUGACUCCCGUCCAGAUCGGCACCAUCCGUCAUGCGUUCAAGUAUUCCCAGGAAUCCUAUGUGCUUCUUCUGAGCCACUUGACUCCUCGAUGGGAAUUAAGAGAAUAUCUGAUUAUAUUUUUGCAAAUGUGUUUGGCUUCCAUUUUCCCUCAUGUUUUUAUUCGGAGGUACUUUAAUCCCAGUGUGGAAGUAAGCAAACGUCCUCUAAACAAGGAGAUGCAAAAAGCGUUCGGAAUGGGGUUCAAGACCUGCUGCCGUGGUCUUUGGUAGUUGCAGGCAGAAAGUGAUGAAGCUUGUUAGCUGGCAAGAAAGAGACUUGGACCUUAGUAGUAACGGAGAGGCUAUUGGUCAUUAGUAAAGUGCCCAUCCUCUAGAGCUGAUUUUUUUUCUUCCUGAUCAGGGUUUCCCCUCCUCCUGGAUUAGAGCUUAUUUUUAAUGAGUUGUGUGGCUUCCUGGACUGGAUGCGAGGGGGCUGUGAGUCCCUUUAAGUCUGAUUUAGGAAUAGUAGGGUUGGCUUCCUGGACUGGUCACUGUAGGUAAUGGUUUAUUUCCUGAGGCCAGUUGUUGCAAAGUCUUAGGUUCAAGAGAAACGCCAUGCAGAUGUCCUCGAGCACACAAGCUUUAUUUGAUGCCAGACAGAAUGGUGGGCUACAAAGGAAAAGGCCUCAGACCACCCCCCACCCCACCCCCCAAACAGCAAAGGUACCCAUUUAGGCCUUUCAGCAGGGAGGAGGGGUCCUACACUGUGAGGAAGUUUUGUCGAUGUGAUAACUUAGAGGCU